CCUACGGGAGGCAGCAGUGAGGAAUAUUGGUCAAUGGGCGAGAGCCUGAACCAGCCAAGUCGCGUGAAGGAUGACGGCCCUACGGGUUGUAAACUUCUUUUGUAAGGGAGUAAUUGGGUCCACGCGUGGGCUUAGCGAGAGUACCUGAAGAAAAAGCAUCGGCUAACUCCGUGCCAGCAGCCGCGGUAAUACGGAGUAUGAGAGCGUUAUCCGGAUUUAUUGGGGUUAAAGGGUGCGUAGGCGGAAUAUCAAGUCAGCGGUAAAAAUUCGGGGCACAACCCCGUCGUGCCGUUGAAACUGAUGUUCUUGAGUGGGCGAGAGGUAUGCGGAAUGCGCGGUGUAGCGGUGAAAUGCAUAGAUAUCGCGCAGAGCGCCGAUUGCGAAGGCAGCGUACCGGCGCCAGACUGACGCUGAGGCACGAAAGCGUGGGGAUCGAACAGGAUUAGAUACCCGUGUAGUC
rnacentral:rRNA from 1 species